GGACUACUAGGGUUUCUAAUCCCGUUCGCUCCCCUGGCUUUCGCGCCUCAGCGUCAGAAGAGAUCCAGUACGUCGCUUUCGCCACCGGCGUUCCUUCCGAUAUCAACGCAUUUCACCGCUCCACCGGAAGUUCCACAUACCCCUAUCUCCCUCGAGACUACCAGUAUCCAAGGCACUUUUCCGGUUAAGCCGAAAGAUUUCACCCCGGACUUGGUAGCCCGCCUACGCGCCCUUUAAGCCCAGUGAUUCCGAACAACGUUCGCACGGUUCGUCUUACCGCGGCUGCUGGCAC
rnacentral:rRNA from 3 species